CCCAACAGAAACUAAAAUAAAUUGUCCAGCAUUUAAAAUUUGGCCCACUGAUUUUAAUGCAAAAUUCGGCCCAAACAAAUUAAAUAAAACCCACCAGAUUUUAAAAUAAAAUGGGCCAAUAACAUUUUAGUAAUUAAAAAUCGGCCCAUUCCUUCUUUUUCCUUUAAAAAUUUUCGGUCCAGCCCUAAGAGGCUUAAGCCCAAUUAAAAACAAAGCCCUAAUCCUAUAACACACACAUAACACACAAAUACACACACAAGCCUCAUUCUCUCUCUAUCUCUCGGCUCUCUCCCGGCUCUCUCUGCUCUCUCUCUGCUCGGUCGAGUGCGGCGCCGCCUCCGGCGCGCCGCCUCGCCGAGCACCUCCCUUCCCCCUCUCAUCUCUCUGACCUCCUCCGUCUGCCUCCCUCUUUCUCAGUUCUUUCUCCCUCGCCGGAAUCGUUGCACGCGCCGCCUCGAUAUCCGCAGCCGCCGCCUCGCCGUGAAGGAGCUCGGCCGCCGUCCAUCUGGUCUUCCGCCUUCGGCCUCCGCUCGAAAAAGGGCGUGGGGUAGCUUCCUCUCCAUCCCCUUGUCUGGAACAGGGCAUCCGCCCUCUCCGCCAUAUGGAGCGCACGGCCGCCGACCUGGAACAGCUCGGUGCUUCCGCCGCCGUGUCGCCGCUGCCGAUGCCGCCGCGUCGUCGUCACCGGAGAAGAUAAGUCCUCCCUCCCUUCUUCUCUUUCUCUU
rnacentral:lncRNA from 1 species